GAUGAACGCUGGCGGCGUGCCUAAUACAUGCAAGUCGAGCGAACGGACGAGAAGCUUGCUUUUCUGAUGUUAGCGGCGGACGGGUGAGUAACACGUGGAUAACCUACCUAUAAGACUGGGAUAACUUCGGGAAACGGGAGAUAAUACCGGAUAAUAUUUUGAACCGCAUGGUUCAAAAGUGAAAGGCGGUCCUGCUGUCACUUAUAGAUGGAUCCGCGCUGCAUUAGCUAGUUGGUAAGGUAACGGCUUACCAGGGCAACGAUGCAUAGCCGACCUGAGAGGGUGAUCGGCCACACUGGAACUGAGACACGGUCCAGACUCCUACGGGAGGCAGCAGUAGGGAAUCUUCCGCAAUGGGCGAAAGCCUGACGCAGCAACGCCGCGUGAGUGAUGAAGGUCUUCGGAUCGUAAAACUCUGUUAUUAGGGAAGAACAUAUGUGUAAGUAACUGUGCACAUCUUGACGGUACCUAAUCAGAAAGCCACGGCUAACUACGUG
rnacentral:rRNA from 1 species